UACGGGGGGAGCAAGCGUUGUUCGGAUUUACUGGGCGUAAAGGGCGCGUAGGCGGUCAGCACAAGUCAGUUGUGAAAUCUCCGAGCUUAACUCGGAAAGGUCAACUGAUACUGUGCGACUAGAGUGCGGAAGGGGCAACUGGAAUUCUUGGUGUAGCGGUGAAAUGCGUAGAUAUCGAGAGGAACACCUGCGGCGAAGGCGGGUUGCUGGGCUGAUACUGACGCUGAGGCGCGAAAGCCAGGGAGCGAACGGG
rnacentral:rRNA from 1 species